CACAGAGGGUGCGAGCGUUAAUCGGAAUUACUGGGCGUAAAGCGCGCGUAGGCGGCUUUGCAAGUCGGGUGUGAAAUCCCCAGGCUUAACCUGGGAACUGCAUUCGAGACUGCAUCGCUAGAGUAUCGGAGAGGGAAGUGGAAUUUCAGGUGUAGCGGUGAAAUGCGUAGAUAUCUGAAGGAACAUCAGUGGCGAAAGCGACUUCCUGGACGAAUACUGACGCUCAUGUGCGAAAGCGUGGGGAGCAAAC
rnacentral:rRNA from 1 species